GCAGGGGGAGCAGGAUGAAGUCACAGACCCAGGUCCUCAUAUCACUGCUGCUAUGGGUGUCUGGUGCCUGUGCAGACAUUGUGAUGACUCAGUCUCCAUCCUUCCUGGCUGUGUCAGAGGGAGAGAAGGUCUCCAUCAGCUGCAGGUCCAGUCAGAGUCUUUAUUACAGUGGCAACCAAAAGAACUUAUUGUCCUGGUACCAGCAGAAACCAGGGCAAUCCCCUAAACGGCUGAUCUAUUAUGCAUCCACUCGGGACACUGGGGUCCCUGAUCGCUUCACAGGCAGUGGAUCUGGGACAGAUUUCACUCUCACCAUCAGCAGUGUGCAGGCUGAAGACCUGGCAGUUUAUUACUGUAUGCAGAGUUACAGUGCUCCUCCCACAGAAAUGGAAGCUUGUCAUAUCUCCAGACAAGAUGGAGAGGAAUAUUGGAUUCUGCAUCAUUUUGACAUCCCCGUUGAACCCUAA